rnacentral:rRNA from 1 species
GACGAACGCUGGCGGCGUGCUUAACACAUGCAAGUCGAACGGAAAGGCCCUGCUUUUGUGGUGUGCUCGAGUGGCGAACGGGUGAGUAACACGUGAGUAACCUGCCCUUUACUUUGGGAUAACUUCAGGAAACUGGGGCUAAUACCGGAUAUGAGCUCCUGCUGCAUGGUGGGGGUUGGAAAGUUUCGGCGGUUGGGGAUGGACUCGCGGCUUAUCAGCUUGUUGGUGGGGUAGUGGCUUACCAAGGCUUUGACGGGUAGCCGGCCUGAGAGGGUGACCGGCCACAUUGGGACUGAGAUACGGCCCAGACUCCUACGGGAGGCAGCAGUGGGGAAUAUUGCACAAUGGGCGGAAGCCUGAUGCAGCAACGCCGCGUGCGGGAUGACGGCCUUCGGGUUGUAAACCGCUUUCGCCUGUGACGAAGCGUGAGUGACGGUAAUGUGUAAAGAAGCACCGGCUAACUACGUG